AGCACGCCGCGUGAGUGAUGAAGGCUUUCGGGUCGUAAAACUCUGUUGUUAGGGAAGAACAAGUGCUAGUUGAAUAAGCUGGCACCUUGACGGUACCUAACCAGAAAGCCACGGCUAACUACGUGCCAGCAGCCGCGGUAAUACGUAGGUGGCAAGCGUUAUCCGGAAUUAUUGGGCGUAAAGCGCGCGCAGGUGGUUUCUUAAGUCUGAUGUGAAAGCCCACGGCUCAACCGUGGAGGGUCAUUGGAAACUGGGAGACUUGAGUGNAGAAAAGGAAAGUGGAAUUCCAUGUGUAGCGGUGAAAUGCGUAGAGAUAUGGAGGAACACCAGUGGCGAAGGCGACUUUCUGGUCUGUAACUGACACUGAGGCGCGAAAGCGUGGGGAGCAAACAGGAUUAGAUACCCUGGUAGUCCACGCCGUAAACGAUGAGUGCUAAGUGUUAGAGGGUUUCCGCCCUUUAGUGCUGAAGUUAACGCAUUAAGCACUCCGCCUGGGGAGUACGGCCGCAAGGCUGAAACUCAAGAAAAAUUGACGG
rnacentral:rRNA from 1 species